UUUAUUGUACAACUCUUUUCUACCGCUUUCCACUAUUCCAAAAAAAUUACAACUUCAACUAACAACUAAAA
rnacentral:sRNA from 1 species